UCUGAGUUUUGCAUUUCCAAGAGCUAUGUGGGAGGGUUGUCCCCCUCUCCCCCAACACUGCCCCAAUUGAGGAUACAACCUGCUAGAGAUGGGAAGAGGAAUUAAAAGACUAGGAGCCUAGGCCAGAAUGUUAGAGAAGAUUCCAAAAGAAGAGCAGAUUGCUACCCAUAAAACUAAGCAACGUCAACGUGGAAUUACUGGAAGAAUCCGAAAGUCUUUGCAGAAAUGCUGUGCUUACUCCAAUGUUUCUCAAAAACCAGCUAUUUUAAAGGGACCAGGGUCAAUAUAAAUGAAAUAAAUGGAGGCUAAGAUAAAAUAUGUCA
rnacentral:lncRNA from 12 species